GAUGAAGAACGCAGCGAAAUGCGAUAAGUAAUGCGAAUUGCAGAAUUUCCGUGAGUCAUCGAAUCUUUGAACGCACAUUGCGCCCAUUGGUAUUCCGAUGGGCAUGCCUGUUCGAGCGUCAUUUGUACCUUCAAGCUCUGCUUGGUGUUGGGUGUUUGUCUCGCCUCUGCGUGUAGACUCGCCUCAAAACAAUUGGCAGCCGGCGUAUUGAUUUCGGAGCGCAGUACAUCUCGCGCUUUGCACUCAUAACGACGACGUCCAAAAGUACAUUUUUACACUCUUGACCUCGGAUCAGGUAGGGAUACCCGCUGAACUUAAGCAUAUCAAUAAGCGGAGGA
rnacentral:misc_RNA from 1 species